rnacentral:rRNA from 1 species
GACGAACGCUGGCGGCGUGCCUAAUACAUGCAAGUAGAACGCACAGUUUAUACCGUAGCUUGCUACACCAUAGACUGUGAGUUGCGAACGGGUGAGUAACGCGUAGGUAACCUGCCUGGUAGCGGGGGAUAACUAUUGGAAACGAUAGCUAAUACCGCAUAAUAUUGAUUAUUGCAUGAUAAUUGAUUGAAAGAUGCUAUUGCAUCACUACCAGAUGGACCUGCGUUGUAUUAGCUAGUAGGUGAGGUAACGGCUCACCUAGGCGACGAUACAUAGCCGACCUGAGAGGGUGAUAGGCCACACUGGGACUGAGACACGGCCCAGACUCCUACGGGAGGCAGCAGUAGGGGAUCUUCGGCAAUGGACGAAAGUCUGACCGAGCAACGCCGCGUGAGUGAAGAAGGUUUUCGGAUCGUAAAGCUCUGUUGUAAGAGAAGAACGGGUGUGAGAGUGGAAAGUUCACACUGUGACGGUAUCUUACCAGAAAGGGACGGCUAACUACGUG